UACGUAGGAGGCAAGCGUUGUCCGGAAUUACUGGGUGUAAAGCGCGUGUAGGCGGCAGGCCAAGUCUGUGGUGAAAUCGCUCGGCUCAACUGGGCGGGGUCCAUGGAAACUGGUCAGCUGGAGGACGGUAGAGGUGAGUGGAAUUCCCGGUGUAGUGGUGAAAUGCGUAGAGAUCCGGAGGAACACCAGCGGCGAAGGCGGCAUCCUGGACUGGUCCUGACACUCAUGAGCGAAAGCGUGGGGAGCGAUCCGG
rnacentral:rRNA from 1 species